rnacentral:lncRNA from 1 species
CCAAUCGAGCUAUAAGUUCCUACACAUCGGGUCCAGUUCAAUGAUGAGAACGCGAAUGGUGAUAAGCUGAGAAGUAACCUUGAUGCCCUGGAGGAAGUUAGGGAAGAAGCCCAAAUCCGAACCGCCGCUUAUCAACAAAGAGCUGCCCGUUAUUACAAUCAAAGGGUCAGGGAAAGAAGCCUGAAGGUAGGGGACCUGGCCCUGAGAAACCUAGAAGCUACAAGAAAAAGAGCGGUGGUAGGCAAGUUGGCACCGACCUGGGAGGGCCC